GCCUCGAGGGGCGGACAACUCGGGGCCCCAAGCUUGGCCGCCGGGCCCAGAGGAGCGGGGAAGGGGCAUCCCGUGGGAGAAGCUCGCGGUGGGCCUGGCCCCGCCGGCCCCAUGGCCGCCGGAGCUUCCUUCCAGGCAACGAGGGGACCUGUCGUGCUCCUCUCCAGGCCAGGAGCCGGCUUGGCCCUCUGAAAUGCCCAGCACACGCUGUCUGGACACCCUUUCAGCUGUGUCCUCUGGGGGCCCACUGCGUCCACGUGGUACCCGGCCACAGAAAUGAGGCAAGAGGUCUGAGGUCCCCGGGCCCUUCUGCAGCCUCAAGGGGCUCCUGGGCUGGUGCCCCCCUCUGGAAAACAGUGCUGUCCUGCUGGGGCCUCCAGCGGCACUUCGCCAGGCAUCCUCUGUCCUGACCAAAGGGAAGUGCUGCUGCUCCUCCGGAGAGCACAAGUCCUGGCUGACAUGUGGCUGGGAUCGGGGCCCACGGAUGACCCAGGUGCCCUCAGAGGAGCCCACAGCACCAGGUGCGGGUGCCGAUGGGGGCGACUGCCAGACCCAGAGGGAGGCAAGCCCAUCCGCAUCCCUGGGACAGUGACCGUCUCAAGCUUACAGAGAAGUUAGAAGUUGCAAGAGUGGUACAGGAACACCACCGCUCACGCCCCACAAACCAUUUGAGAGUGAAUUGCUGACAUGGCGCUCUGUCCAUCACACCCCACAGCACCAAGUCCCAGUACGUAGGCCUCUCGCUCCUGUGGCCUCUCCCGCCGCGGAGCACAGGCCCUGGACGCGCAGGCUCAGUGGCCAUGGCUCACGGGCCCAGCCGCUCCACGGCACGCGGGAUCCUCCCGGACCGGGGCACGAACCCAUGUCCCCUGCAUUGGUAGGCGGACUCUCAACCACUGUGCCACCAAGGAAGCCCCCUUUCCAUUGUUUAAUUCCGAUCUCUAACAGCGAGAGACCUGAUGUGUCACCAGUAAUUUGUUUCCUUAUUUGCUCAAUCCCAUAUGUAAUCAAUCUCCCUGCUCCACUGGAUGUCCCCUCCCCUCCUUGGGCUCUGACCUCAAUCAGGACGGCCCCCGGGGAUGGCUCUGCACCCCAGGAUCCAGUUCCAGGAGCCUGGGGUGACAGGCUGGUAACACACUCGGGUGUCCUGCCUUCCCUCCCUCCCUCCCUUCCUCCCACCCUGAUUUGUGUGUCCUGGAAACACCUCCCAAACACAUAUUUUCACUCAAAUCUUUGUCUCAGGGUCUGCUUUUGGU